CAGAAGGAGGAGAAGCGAGGGGAAAAGUUGCCACACACACACCCCCGGGGAGGGCGAGGGAGGGAGAAAAGGGGGGAGGGAGAAGGAGCUAGGGGGCCACAACCACCACAACUCUGGGAGAGAAGAGAAGAGAAAGGGACAGAAGGGGGGAAAGGAGGUGAGGGUGAGAGAGCGAGCGAGCGCAAAAGGGGCGAGCGAGAGAGGCGCUCUGGAGAGAAACGCACAAAAGUGUCCCGCAAGUCGAAAUAUUCUGGAAAGAAAGAAAUGCUUGCUACAGAAAUGUGGAUGGUUCAGGAUAACUUCACUUUCGCCCCAAAGGAUAUCGUUUGAAGCCGAGCUUGUACCAGUUCAGGGAAGGGAAACAUAA
ensembl:lncRNA